GGCGCGCGGGAAGGGCGGCGCCUGCGGCCUGCGGGGCGCGGGGCAGCGGGGCAGGGCGGCCCGAGGGAGGAGGCGAGCCCGAGGGAGGAGGCGGCGGACCCCCGGCGGACCCCCGGCGGCCCAGACGCCCGCCGCGCGUCCUGCGCCCUCCUCCGCCUCCGGGGCCUGCGAGCGUCACCCGAGCACGCUGAGGGGACCCGCAGCUGGCCACACGCUCUGCGUUCCGCUCCGGGCGUCGCGGGCCUUGGAUACCCAAGUCCUGUGGCGUGGCUCGCUCUGGGUCGCAUUGCUUGAAGGAAGGCUGCGUUACAAGGCCUGGGAGCGGGCCAGGGCUGUGGGCAGUGACUGACUGCACACCUGGGCGGGCCCUCUGGCCCUGGCGUGUCCCUCAGGCCUGGAACCAGCCGAGAGUGCAUUUGAAGUGCACUAGUCCAAGGCCGGGCCCCACCCGUGUGCCGCGUGCGGAAUGUCGAAAGAGCCGCACGAAUCAGAAACUCGACGUGGCAAAUUUCAAAGAGUAAUUUAAACGCGAGGUGCGGCCCGUCCCAGUGCCUUCCGAAUUUGGCUUACAUUUGGCAGCUGCGCUGGGAGAGCAGCAGGUGUGUGGAAGAGAACCGACCGGCCUUCGCCGCUCUGCCUGCCCGGACAGACUCCUGUUCCACCUCCCAGUAGAUCGCGACCUGAGUUACUGGGGCAGUGACCCACAGGCAGGUCGUGCUGCAGAUCUGACAUCGGAAAAUCGGAAAAAAGAUCAAAGAUCCCCCGUUCCCCAAAAGCCCUCAGGAAUACUCUAGCUGCAUAGGUGGUCGCCUCUGGUUUCACACCCUGCUUCACCUGUAAGAAUGACAGCAAAGAUGUCUAUUGCCAAUGGAAGGCCACCCUGGAGUAAUGAGUACAGAGACCCUAAGCACCACAGGAACUCACUAAAAUCAAGGAAGGUCUUUGAAAUCUAUUAGAUUAUCUAUAAAAUUGUGAUUCUUUUCAUGUAAAUAUCUCAUAAAUUAAUGAGGUCGAUGAGUGCUUUAGCAUUUUCAAAGAAGCAGUUGUCAAGAGAGUGCUGUUUUUAGGAGAUACGCCACUUUUACUCCAUAGCUUUGAGACCUGCUCUUACUGCACUGGACCCUGGAAGCUCACCUGUCCUGGAUGGAAGUAGGACAGUGGAAGAGAUCACGGGAAGAUGAUCAGUGUUGUUAGGGCCUGAACAUCUUUAUGUCAGAGAUGGCUGGAUGGUUCAACAAUGAAGGGUGUCUUUCUGGAAAACCCUGAAGACAGUUUGUUGGUCUGCCAGGGCUGCCACAACAAAGUACCACAGAAAAGGUGGCUUGAACAACAGAUUUAUUUCUCCACAGCGCGCGGGCUGGAGAAGAUCAAAGUGUCCGCAGGGUUGAGUGCCUCUGAGGCCUCUCUCCCUGGCUAUAAACAGGUAAAUGGAAGCCAAGAGUUCGCUCUCAGCUGACCCUAUCAAGGAAAUGUUAAUGCAUGUACUACAGGCAAAAGAUCAUAGUCCCAGACCUGCAGGAAAGAAUGAAGAACAAUGAACGAGUCUCUGUUAUGGCCUGGGAAAGCAAUGGAAGACAGCCCAAGACCUUGGGCCCCUGCACCUUCAUGGGAGACCUGGAAGAAGCUACUGGCUCCUGGCUUCAGAUCAGCUCAGCUCUGGACAUUAAUGGUAAUUUGGGGAGUGAACCAGUGGAUGGAAGAUCUCAAUCUCUCUCUGGCUCUACCUUUCCCUCCAGCUCUUUCAAAUAAAUAAAAUAAAUCUUAAAAAAAAAAUAGACUUAGGGAAAAUUUGUAAAUGAAGGAUCUGUUGCCUGCAGAGUCCAAAAGGGCCCAAUUGG